UGAUUUAAUUUUUUUAAAAUAGAAGACGGUUAGAAAUAAGAAUAUAACUCAGCUAAAAAUUAGAGUAAAUGCUUUUGUAUUAAAAAAGGUGAAAGGGGGACUUUAUUGCAUCAAAUUCAAAUACUUUAAGGGUACCUCGGCCUUUUCGGUUUAAUAUGUGGGGCCUAAGGCGGGGCCUUGCCUAGGGUUUACGGCUUAUUCUCUAAAUAUAUUCAAUCCUUGAAGAUCUGAAUAACUUUUUUAUUUUGAAUUUCCUUUUAAUUUAAUUGCUUCAAAUGAAUAUAUAGUGAAGUACUUUAUUUUUUUCUCUCAAAUUACCAAUUUGCUUUCAGUUCUCUGUUUACACAUAAUAGCCUUCAUGGGUUCUUCAUCGACGGAUGCUUUUCCCCAAAUUCAGGUACCCGCUAAAUAAUUGCUUCUAUUGUUAUUGUUCUGCAACACCUUAGCACUGUUAAUACCUGCUAGAAGAUUAUGUUCUUAAACUUCGUCCUUAUUCAAGGACACUCUUGUAUCAGCUCAUUAAUAUUUUUAUUGUUUUCCUUGGAGGAGGAGUUAGGAAAAGCAAAUUGCCGCUUGACUAGAUCAUCGUGCAUAGAAGGCUCAACUAGAUAGACAAGUCAUUUAGACGUAAGUAGUGUCAGUAGGACAAGAAAGAAAAGCUAAGAGGUCCAGGGCAUAUGUAGAGUUAAGGUGUAUUAGUCGUAUUGUCGCAGGUCGCUACUUAUGCUAUAAGGAUUUAUGCCAGCAAGGUUGAGAUAUAGCUGUAAAACUAUUAGGUUAAGUAAAUAGAUUAUGUAUGUCGUACCUAAGGGUGUCACAUAGCGGGAGCUUAGUGUGGUCCAACCCUUCCCCGCGCAUAGCAGAAACUUAGGUGCACCGGACUGCCUUUUUUUGCCUAGCGGUGUCACAUAGCCGUCAAUAAAAUAAGUGCAAAUCCCAGGAUUAGGGUUCAAAUUCCAACCGAGAAAAAAACCUUUAGGUGAUUUCUUCCUAGCAACCUAAACUUUGGUGGUAGAGUUACUCACUACAUGACUACAUGUGUUUGUGGGAGAUAGUAGCUACCUGGUGGAAUAGUCGAGCUAUGCGCCAACUGAUAUUAAGACCGUCAUUACUUAAAAGAAAAAACCUUUAUUAGAGGUAAAGACUUGGUUGAUACAAACAUAUGAACAUACAAAAGAAGACUUGCAGAUCUUGAGGACUCUAGCAAUGUGAACAAAAGCUUCUAUGGAGGUUUGUCUUUAAAGAAUGGUUAUACUAUAUUGGCCACCCUUUACAUCCCGGAGUCAGGACCUUGAUGGUUAGUUGAUUGAUUAAUUGAUAACUUGUAAUUAUAUCUUAUGACACGGAGAACAUAUUAUCAUAAAAUUAAAAGGCUGUUUGGUUAAGUUAAAUUUAAAUGACUUUUAGUAGCAAGUGCUGAAUAGGAC
rnacentral:lncRNA from 1 species